ACACGCAUGACACACUGCAUAUCAAUAAGCGGAGGAAAAGAAACUAACAAGGAUUCCCUUAGUAACGGCGAGUGAAGCGGGAAGAGCUCAAAUUUGAAAUCUUCAAGGGUUCUACCUUUACGAAUUGUAGUUUAUAGAAGUGUUUUCUGUUAGUGGAGUGGCAAAAGUUCUUUGGAAUAGGACAUCAUAGAGGGUGAGAAUCCCGUAUUUGGUACAUUCCUCCUAGCGUUGUGAUACACUUUCAACGAGUCGGAUUGUUUGGGAAUGCAGUCCAAAAUGGGUGGUAAAUUUCAUCUAAAGCUAAAUACUGGCGAGAGACCGAUAGCGAACAAGUACCGUGAGGGAAAGAUGAAAAGAACUUUGAAAAGAGAGUUAAACAGUACGUGAAAUUGUCAAAAGGGAAGCGUUUGACACCAGUGUUGUUUUCUCGAAAAUCAAUUAAAAAUGAUGGGAUCUUGUGUUGUAUUGACUUUAUCAGCUUUCUGCACUCUUUUUCCUAUCUUUUUUAAUGCACUUUUCGUUUAACAAGUCAACAUCAAUUUCUUUUGUUGUAAAAGGGUCAUUGGAAGGUGGCUUUCUUUUCGGAGAAAGUGUUUAUAGCCUUUGGCUUCUGCAAUCGGAGAGAUUGAGGUCUGCAGCGUAGAUCCUUCGGGGUUAGAUGCAUUUGUGCUAAGUUAUAGCCUUUCAUAGACAACUUGUUGACUAUGAUCAGUCAUGUAGCUUACUCGCUUAUGUUAUAUUACCUACGCUUAGGAUGUUGACUGAUAUGUAGUCGUA
rnacentral:rRNA from 1 species